rnacentral:lncRNA from 1 species
CGAUGGCCGGCCGUCGGCAUAGCUUAUUUGCCGAUGGCUUUCCAAGGCCAUCGGCAAACAAUCAAUCUUUUUUUUUUGUUUUUUCCUUCCCAAUUUUUUCUGGUGUCUUCCUACCCCAAAUACAAGCCACCUCCAAAGUUUGGCACAAUUUUGAACUUUUUAGCUAUAUUUCGUGAAUUAUUUCUGUUUCUUUGAAUCUUUCCCGCACCUCAAGAUUUGAACUGCAGGUACAUUAAAUAAUGCAGACUUUUGAUUCGAAAAAUGAUAUUCAUGAUUCUCGGAGUAUCUUGAGGCCAUAUCCAGGAGCUCGCAUAAAAUUACGACCCUGUUGGCCUCGUAACAUGGGUAGUGACGUGUCGUGAAAGUGUUUUAAAAUUCUAUAAAAUCCAAACGGAGUCCGAAAUUGACGGAACUUGACGAGUUGUGUUGGCAUGGCAUGUGUAGUGUGUGGUAAAAAUUUCAAAAAGUUUCGAGCAAGUUGUGACGUCGGAUAGUCAAAACCCAGACAUCUCCACAUGUGAUCACGCAGGAGAAGGUAAAGCUCUAGGGUUGUCGGCCAUCGCGCCGUUUUCUGUGUUGACGGCCUUCGUGCCGGGUUUGUGGUUGUGUGGGCCAUCGUGCCGCAAAUGUGGACACCGGCCUUCGAGCCGGCAGUUUUUCUUGCAGGUCUUGGAACCUCCCCGUACAGGGGAGGUUCUGUCGAAAUUUUCCACAAAUAUUGAUAUCUUUAUUGCUUUGCAGAGCAGGACUUGUCGGAGGGGACCUUGACCGUGUUCGUGAACCUACCCACCUCUGCGCCGCCACCCUAGGUAUAAACCACCUCUGUGUCUUAUAGUUGUUGUAAGUACAUUGCGUAACCGAGUU